GGCUUCGUGGCCGAAUGGUAAGAACACUUAGCUUUUACCCUGGAGUCCCGGGUUCGAUCCCCAGUCGAGGAGCUA
rnacentral:tRNA from 1 species